rnacentral:lncRNA from 1 species
UGAUGCCAUCUUUUCUUUUCUGUAGCUAUGGAAUAUUAACAAAAAACGUGAGAUGUAUGUAAGACCAUGGCAUUUUUCGAUGCUCACUAUUUUUUUCCAACUCCAACUUCAUACUCAGAGAGUCACACAAGGAAGGAACUUCUGCAGAUUUCAUGGAAGCUAAUUACCACUUUGAUGUACUGAUGAAGGAUCCACACUCUUGGUCUAUUUGGUACAGCUCAUUCACUGUGAUGGCACCUAACAUGUAUAGUACUCUGCACCAGAGAAUUAGAGAUGUUACAUUCUCAUAUCAGCUUAGAGGAGUCCAAGAUGUUAACACUUAAAAUUACACGGGGCCACCUGUGGUUGAUGUUAAACAUUUUACAACGUCUCAAAUAUCUAAAUGUAGAUGGAGAAAAUAAGUCACUUACGAAAAAUUCCUAUGGAUUAUCAGUAUUAGCUUUUUACCAUUCCUUCUCACUUCCCACCAAAUUUUCUCCUGAUUUCUUUCUUCCUUCUUCCCUCCUUUCUUCCUUCCUCCCUCCCUCCCUUCAUUUUGUCUUUCUUUUUGGAAAAAGAAAAAAAAAAAAAAGAAAAAUUUUUCUCAAGUUCUCCGCGUAGCUUGUAGAUUACAAGUCCGUGAUAAAUCAGCCCCUUGGUCAAUAUGAGCAAGAGUCAAGGGAAGUAACUAACGUUAUCCCAGGGAAAGUUUUCACUGGAAACAAAUCACACAUAAAAGCACUAAUUAGAAUAAUUAUGGCCAUUAUGAUUAUAAUGUCACAGCAGUCUUGCAGUGUGCUAGCUAUCCAGAGUUGUCAUAUUUGCAAAUAGCAUAACUGCACAUAUUAAGAUUUAGAAUUAUUUUAUUCACUAUGGAAAAUAAGCCAUUUCUUUACACUUUGCAAAUAAGCACAUACAUAUAUAUCCAAAAUAUUAUGGUCUCUAAGAAGCCUAAUACACAAUGUGAAAAAAUGUGGGCAAGGGAAAAAGUGUGACUUUUUUAUUUAAAAAGUGAAUAUUCACUUAUGAUCCCAAGGAAGUGUCUGUGUGGAGACCACUACUUAUAUUAUAUUCAAAAAUUAUAGUAAAUAAUAAUGAUAUUAAUUAUAAUAGUAUUAAUGCAAUCAGGUAUCCUUAUGACUAUUUGCAAAUACCAAGUUCUUUAACCCUCUUAAAAAUCUGAUUCAUCAGCCACGAUUAUUAUAAUUGGUUUUGCGGGUGGAAAUACUGAAGUACACAGAGACACGGUAAUUUGCUCAAGGUCACACACAGUGAGUGGACGAGCUUGGAUCCAAACUCUGUCAGUCUGUCUCCUAAGUCUGUAUUGUCAGCCAUCAGGAAACAAGUCAUAAAUUAAUAAUCUUCUAUUUGUACUGUAAACCUGUUUGAGCUCUUUUGGAAGUUAGAGUCCUUAGAUCAUCUUUAGAAAAAGUUUUCAUCAAUAUUCCUCUAUUGCUUAAACUUUGGAGGGCUUCACUCUUUAUUUUUAUGAUCCCCAAUAGCUCAUACAGAGAAUGCUUAUCUUAUAUGACUAUGGGGUAGAUGUGAAUUUGACAAUAGAAACACCUCCUUCACAGAGUAAAGGUCACAAAAUAUCAUCCAACGUUGGGAAGCCAUCCAAGUGCCAUGUCUCUUAGUGGUUGGUAUUCGGGUACUAACAGUAUGAGCAGUAAUAGUUGAAGUUAAACCUUCUUCCCCUGUUAAUGUGAGAUGUUUGAGUAGUUAGCUAUUCUGAGCUCUGCCUGAUGAUUCAUUACUUCAAACAUAAAUAUGGAACUGUAUUAGGAGAAACUUGUAUCUGUAUAUAUUUGAACUGGUAUUGUAGAUACUUAGGACAGAGCUUCUCCAACUUUAAUGUACCUAUGAAUUACCUGGGGGUCUUAUUAGCACACAGAGAUUCUGAUUUAGUAAGUGUGAACAAAUCACAAAUAUGACCUCAAUUCUCCAUCUCUUUUUGUGUCUGUGUCCUUUGCAAUUUGAUUGUGCAGAUCCUCCCAACAAUGGAGAGACUCUGUGUCCCUUCUGCUUUAAUCUGGAUUAGCCUAUGACUUGCUUUGACCAGUAGAAUGUGGAGGGAGUAAUAUCAUACCAGUUCCAUGCCUAAGCCAUUUUCUUUCCUGGAACCUUGCAAUUAACAUGGAACAAAUUCCAGGCUAGCCUGCUGGAGCAUAAGAAGCCACAUGGAGCAGAACCUUGGUACCUCAUAUGAUAGCCAACAAGAAUGGAGUAGCAGAGAUGUGUGAUUCAACUGCAGCUGUGUGCAUCCACUGCAGUAGACACAUGAGGGAACCCAGCCAAGACCAGAAGAACCUCCCAGCUGAACUAUGUACUCAUAAACAAGUAUGAAUCACUGAUGUUUUAAGCCACUGUGUUUUGUGGUAGUUUGUUACACAGUGAUAGUUAAGUGAUCAAACAGGUCUAGGAUGGAGCCUGAUAGUCUACUUUUCUGACAAAAUCCCAGGUGGUGUUGAUGCUACUGAUUUGUGGAACACUAAGUAGCAAAGAUGUAGGAUGGGGUGGAAAAUGAUAGCAUAUCCACUGAGUCCAGCCUAUAGGCUGUUUUUCAUGGCCAGUGAACUAAGAACAUCUUAAAAUAUUUUUAACAGAAAAGCAAGAAUAACGAGGGAAGAAGGAGAAAGGGGGGGUAGAAAAAAAGGAAGACGAAGAAAAACAAAGGAGAAAAAAGGAAGAGAAAGUAAUAGAAUAGCUUUUGAAGCCUACAGUAUUUACUAUUCAGCACUUCAGAGAAAAGUUUACCCAACUCUGUUCUAGGAGAUCCUAAGAAUCUUCUACACUACAAUAUACAAUUUGACUUUUAACCUUCAGAUGGGCUCUGAGUUGUGCAUGUAACUUCUAUGUCCUCGACAUCUAGCUACAGUAGAUGUGCAAUACAUAUCUGAAGUGUUGAUGACUGAAAUAAUACAUGAAUAAAUGCAGCAGUUUUCCUGGACUGACACUCUUGGGCAAUCAUACUUAUCAUCACCCUCCCAUAAUGAUGGCAGGAAAAUAUAGCAAAUCUCUGUCUGGAACAGUCUCCUUCAAUGAUAUCUCUAUGCUUAUGUUCCAAACCCCCUUUGUGUCCCACAGUAUAGGAAUAGGGAAAAACAGAGCCCUGGGUAUUUGCUAAAGUGGACUCAAUAGAUUUCAGCAUCUCCUAGAAAUUUUGGGCAGCAAUCUCAUUCUAUUAUUACAAAGUGUGGCUAAGAUGUUACAGUGAGACAGAGGUAAAGUCCAGGUUCAAAGUCAAGUCAAAAGAGAGGUGAAAUGGAGUGUUCCACUUCUAUGCUUAGAAAAUUAUAAAGGGAAUGUGGUGCAAAGUGGUGCUGAUAAAGUCUGUAUUUUAUUGAAAUAUAUGUUGUGUGUGUACAUGUGUGCAGGAAAUUCAGAGUUUUCUAGAAAUCACACUAUACAUUAAUCUAUGUGAGCUUUGGAACCCUAAAUUCAGUACUGAUAGCAGCUUUAAUUCUCUGGCCUUUUGACUUCCUCUGUAUAAUCAUAACAAACAGAAACCAAACAAUUACACAGAUGUGUUAGGUCUGAGAGACUAGAACUCUGAUUUGACAUUCAGAGGAUAUUUUCACAAAAACUGAGGCCCUAAAAUGGUGACUGUAAAAGGAGAGAAGGAUAGAUUUAGGAAAAGAAGCUCUUCCUCUAAGAAGAGUUUCUGACACAUAGAGUAUAGUCAAUAAAUGCCCACAGCUGUUAUUGUACCAGUGGUCCCCUCACUCACAUUUGCUUAAGCCUGACCCUGUGGGUGUACACUGAAUUCUUCCUAAGCUACAAGAAAUCCCAUUUUAAUGGUGUUAAUGGACAGAUAUUAGUCUUGAAGAAUCCCUAAUUACUACUUUGAAUCCUGUCAUGAGUGUUGCCCUGUGUGGGGAAUACACACAGCAUGGAGAAGGCUGGACCCUGACUUAGCUAUUUAGUGAGUCUUCAGUGAGUGUGUAACAACUGCUCCCCCUUGCCUCAAGGUCUCUUCAUUAAAAUGGAUGCAGCAAAAUGCCAGUGGAAAGUAUAGCUGAAUUCCCCUAAAUAAUUGGCAUGGGUGAUCUGUGACUCAGUAGCAUUACUGCAUUUGAGAAAAGUAAGGAAGCUCCAGUAGUUCUUUUUGUGGAGAAAUAUUACCUGAUUCAGGAAAAGUACCCAGUGUGAAAUUCAUUAGUGAACAUGUAUGUCUGGGGAGUAGAAAUAAGGAAAAGUGGUCAGGAAGAAGAGCUGGCUGGUUCCCAUGGAAACAAACAGAACAACCAGCCCAGCUUAUUUGGUUCUAUAAUUUUAAGGAAUUUCCUCCUUAACUGGGCUCCAAAAUUUCCUGGGAAGGAGGUCUAGAGUGAAUUUAUGUACAUUAUGGGUUUUUCUAUUUCUCUAAAGAACAAAGCUAGCUGAGCAGAGCAGAAGUAAAGAUUAAGUGUUUGGUGAAGCAUUGGGGGUAAAGUAUAAAUCUAUCAUUCCAUAUGGAGCAAUAAUUUCUUAUUGUAUAAAAAGCCAGAGUGAAGAGUGGAAUGAGAUACUGAACUUUAAAGAUCCUAUAUCUGCCUAUUUUUUCACUUUCCCAUUCCAUUCACCGUCACUUCCCUUCCCUUUCAAUCUUACAGAGUGAACUAGCAUCAUAGCCCUUGAUAGCAUAUGAUUGAGCUGAAAACUUUCAUUGAUUAUUAUCUCCUAUCAUUUUCCUCCAAUUGAGUAUAUCUUUUGCCAUUCUUCUUCUAUUUUUUCAAAAUUUUACUUUAUUAUCAUAUUUUUAAUACAUGAACCUUGUAAAACUAUAAAAUACCAUAGAAGUAUAAUAAGUAAAUGUGCCAUUUCCCCUAUUUUUCUCAGAAUCCCUCCCCUUAGAGUUGGCCAUUUGCAGUAGCUUAUUGUGUAUCCUUCCAACACCUUUUAUCUAUAAUCUCAUGCACAUGUGCAUACAGAUAUUUACAUGUGUGCAUGCACACACACACACAUUAUGUACACUGGCGUAAUUUUAAAAACAAAAUUGGGGGAGUUCCUGUUGUGCUCAGCAGGUUACAAACUCAACUAGUCUCCAUGACAAUGCCAGUUUGAUCCCUGGCCUUGCUCAGUUGGUUAAGGAUCUGGCAUUGCCAUGACCUGUGGUGUAGAUCACAGACAUAGUUCAGAUCCUGCGUUGCUGUGGCGUAAGCUGGCAGCUGCAGCUCCAGUUCUACGCCUUGCCUGGGAACUUCCAUAUAUUGCAGGUGUGGCCCUAAAAUGCAAAAACAAACAAACAAACAACAAACAACCCACAAUUGGGACCCUCGAAAUAUACUUCUUUCAUUCAACAGUGAAUUGGUAAUACAGUCUCAGGUCCACACAGACAAAUCUACUGUAUUCUUUUCCAAUGUUAUCAAUAUUAUCAGCAUCCCACAAUGUAUUUUAAAUUUAGCUUAAAUUUUAUAAAGACUGCAUGCAUUUUGUAAAAUAACUGAAAAAAGUUAUUAAAAGCAUAAAAUUAAAUGUAUCCAUUCAUAGCUCCCAUACCUAAUUUCAAUUCUAAUGAAGUUACUAAUGUCAAUCAUUAUGUAUUAUAAACACAUUAUAUAUAUACACUUACAUAUAUACUCUAUAUAUACUAUCUGCAUAUAAUGAUAGUGUAUAAUAUAUAGAGUAUAUACACAGAGUGUAUAUUCUAGAUAUAUAUAUAUGCACACUCUAUCUAGAGUACAUAUAUAUAUAUACACACACACACACACUGUGUAUAUACUACAUAUAGUAUAUACUAUAUAUACUUUUGCUAUCUGGUCUACUAAUUUUGGUUAGUUCUAUGGUUUGUUCAGUUCUAAGUUUUUUUUUUUUAAUUUACAAUCUGUUCCAUGAGUAUAAGUAUAAAUAAAUAUAUACUAUCAACCAAGUAGUGUGACUGAACAGAAAAUGACGGGUAAUUUUUUUGUCAUUAAACUUUACCAUUCAAAACACAACCUUUCAAGGAGUUCCCAUUGUGAUUUAGUGGGAACGAAUCCAACUAGUAUCCAUGAGAAUGCGAGUUUGAUCCCUGGCCUUGCUCAGUGGGUUGGGGAUCCAGUGUUGUCAUGAGUUGCAGUGUAGGCUGCAGAUGCAGCU